rnacentral:rRNA from 1 species
UACAGAGGUCUCACGCGUUGUUCGGAUUCAUUGGGCGUAAAGGGUGCGUAGGCGGCGCGGUAAGUCGGGUGUGAAAUCUCGGAGCUUAACUCCGAAACUGCAUUCGAUACUGCCGUGCUUGAGGACUGGAGAGGAGACUGGAAUUUACGGUGUAGCGGUGAAAUGCGUAGAUAUCGUAAGGAAGACCAGUGGCGAAGGCGGGUCUCUGGACAGUUCCUGACGCUGAGGCACGAAGGUCAGGGGAGCAAACGGG